GAAAAAGAGAGGUGAUCACAUUCCAAAAGUCUUUAGGACAAAGAAUUGUGGAACUUGGUGUGGGGAGUGAGGAAGGGUAAAGAUGAGGACCAGGGUUCUGGCUUGGGCACUUGGGUAGAUGGUGGUUGUUUUUACAGAGAUGGAGAAAACUGGAGGAUGAGGCGUUCUAUUUUGGACAUAUUAAAGUUAAGGUGACAAUGCAACAAGGUGGAAAUGUUGAGUGUGUUGUUGGUUAUACAGAUUUGCAAUUCAGGAGAGCAAUCUGACUUGGAGACACAGAAUCAGCAUAUAGAUGAUACUUGAAUACAUGGGUGUGAAGGAGAAUGUCUCAGGUGAGUGGAAGGCAAGAGGUCAGGGGACAAGAAACCUACAAGACUGAAAAAGAGCAACUGGAAGUUGAAAAGGAAGUAGGAAAAUGUGUGAGUAAAGCUUAGAGAAGAGAACGUUUCAAUGAAGGGGAAGUGAUCAACAGCAGUACAGGCUACUAAGAGAUCAAAGAACAUUAAUACUUUAAACUAGCUAUUGAAUUUACAAUUGGGAUUUUGUUUAAAUUCCAGGGGUACAUGUGCAGGUUUGUUAUGCAGGUAAACUUGUGUCAUGGAGGAUUGUUGUACAGAUCAUUUCAUCACCCAGGUAUUAAACCUAGUACUCAUUAGUUAUUUUUCCUGAUCCUCUCCCUCUUCUUAUCUUCUCCACUCUGGUAGGCCCCAGUGUCUGUUUUCCCCUUCAAUGUGCGGUAGGAUAUAUUUGAUGGUCUGUGAGUGUUGUUUCAGAAUAAUGGGUGAAGAAAUAACACUAUAUUGGGUUCCUUCAUUUAAGGGAGUGUGAUGAACACCUUCUGUGCUGGGUGCUAGAGUCCAAGAAUCUCACAUAAUCGCUGCCCUCCAGACAGCAGAUUUGUGGCAGGUUGAAAAGUAGGCCGGGCAUGGUGGCUCACGCCUGUAAUCCCAGCACUUUGAGAGGCCGAGGUAGGUGGAUCAUGAGGUCAGGAGUUUGAGACCAGCCUGAGCAACAUGGUGAAACCCGUCUCUACUAAAAAUACAAAAAUUAGCUGGGCAUGGUGGUGCGCACCUGUAAUCCCAGCUACUCGGAGGCUGAGGCCAGGAGAAUCGCUUGGACCUGGGAGGUGGAGGUUACAGUGAGCCAAGAUUGAGCCACUGCAUUCUAGCCUGGGCCACAGAGUGAGACUCGGUCUCAAAAAAAAAAAAAAGAGAAAGUAAAAGAAAAGUGAAUGGGAGGUGAGCAAAUAGAGAAAGUGAAUGUAGACCAGUUCUAUAAGGUUGGCUGAGAUAGGAAGGCAAGAAGAGUGAUAUAGUGAUGGUGACUGAGAGUGGCAGAUUCUAAUUAUUUAAGAUUGGUAGACUUUAGUUUUUAAGUUUGACGGGUCAGGAUCACCUGUCCUCUCAGUCUAGACUUCACUGGUUCCCAUUAUGCUCUGCACUACUUCUCUUUAAUACUUUGCAAAGUCAUUUGUUACAUUUUUCAUAUAGUUCUCAAAGGAUACUCUUAUAAAGACAGUUAAGCACUGUUACUAUUUUGUUGGUGAGGAAAUAUAGGCUUAGGCAGUUGCCCAGUGGGCCUAGCAUCUAGGAAGACUCUAGCUGAGUCUAGGAAGACUCUAGGAAGAUGCUACAAAAAGGAAAAAGGGUGGCAUUAAAGAAACUGGAAGGUUUUGGUGCUGGUUUGAGAGGAUAAGGUAUGGGGGCCUAAGCUGGCUAUAUGCUAGAUAUGAAGAGGGGGUUAAUUUCCUGCAAAUCUCCUUGAGAUAAAAGUCUAGGCCCUGGGGUGACAAGCAGCCUCAUAGUGAACAGAACCCUUGUGCCCAUACUUUUGCCCCAAGAGUUUGGCCUGCCCUGGGGCCACAGGCAGUACUGGAGGCUGAUAAGUUAGGGCACAAAUUAAAAAUGUAGGAGGCAAGACCGACUGAUAAACGGGGUGUCAUUGCUUCCUGGGGAUAUCCCCAUCCAGGAAAAGCUUUUGGCUAUUUCUGUGUUAGCAGAUGCGAGCCAGUUUUGGAGGAAAAUGAUUAAGUUAAAGGCCACACCCCCCAACCUCUUCAGCUGUAGGGGCCUCUGGAUGGCCAGACCCCUGAUCAGCUCCAGGCCUUGCCUAGAGUCCCAACACAGGAAGUGACCACAGCACUAAGGCAUCUGGAGGCUGCUGGCCUAGACCAAGGACCGCCCCCUGCUCCGCCCCUUGAAUCUGCAGCAUCGAACUAGAGGAAAUUUCCUUUUAUGGCCCCAUGCUGUCAGGCAGGCACAGCUCCAAACCAAUUGUUUUGUUUGUAUACAUAUUUUACUUUAUAAAAUACAUAUCUCUGGGAAAAGAAAAAAAAUCAGAUAUAGUUUUCCUUCCAAAACAGCCGUUCUCAUUUUCUUGUUUUCUGUGCAUAGGAUUGCUAAAUAGGGGAAUCCUGCUUUGCAUGGUGGUUUGUUAUUUGCCUCAUCAGUAGUCAAAAGCCUUUCUCCUUUUCAAUAUAAACCCUUCCAAAACAUCAUUUAAAUUCCAUCCCAUUUUUAGAUGUUAGUUUCAGUACCAGAGCUAAAUAGUAAGCUUGUUCCCUCUCCUGUAAGUUGUGGCCUGUCUUCUCCAAGACACCCUUCUCCCCAACUAACGUGCACUGAACAGCUGCUGUCAAUCCAUUCCCUCAAGAAACUUAAAGUCUAACAAAGUCUAACAGACAAGACAGUAUAUUAACAGAUUUUUACAAUCCAGUGUGACAAGUGCUGAAGUAGGAGGAUUUAUAAGAUGCAGU